GAGGCUGUGGCUCAGUGGUAGAGUAACUGCCUAGCAUGCAGAAGGUCCCAGGUUCAAUCCCUGGCAUCUCCA